GACGAAGGUGGCGAGCGUUACUCGGAAUUACUAGGUGUAAAGCAUGGGCAGGCGGUUCGGUAAGUCUGUUGUGAAAUCUCCCGGCUUAACCGGGAGGGGUCAAUGGAUACUGCCGGGCUUGAAUAUGGGAGGGGUGACUGGAAUUCCUGGUGUAGCGGUGAAAUGCGUAGAUAUCAGGAGGAACACCAAUGGCGAAAGCAGGUCACUAGACCAUUAUUGACGCUCAUCCAUGAAAGCUAGGGGAUCAAACAGG
rnacentral:rRNA from 1 species